AACGAACGCUGGCGGCAUGCCUAACACAUGCAAGUCGAACGAGACCUUCGGGUCUAGUGGCGCACGGGUGCGUAACGCGUGGGAACCUGCCUUUAGGUCCGGAAUAACUCAGAGAAAUUUGAGCUAAUACCGGAUGAUGUCUUCGGACCAAAGAUUUAUCGCCUUUAGAUGGGCCCGCGUUGGAUUAGCUAGUUGGUGGGGUAAAGGCCUACCAAGGCGACGAUCCAUAGCUGGUCUGAGAGGAUGAUCAGCCACACUGGGACUGAGACACGGCCCAGACUCCUACGGGAAGCAGCAGUGGGGAAUAUUGGACAAUGGGCGAAAGCCUGAUCCAGCAAUGCCGCGUGAGUGAUGAAGGCCUUAGGGUUGUAAAGCUCUUUUACCCGAGAUGAUAAUGACAGUAUCGGGAGAAUAAGCUCCGGCUAACUCCGUG
rnacentral:rRNA from 1 species